AUUGAACGCUGGCGGCAUGCCUUACACAUGCAAGUCGAACGGUAACAGGUCUUCGGAUGCUGACGAGUGGCGAACGGGUGAGUAAUACAUCGGAACGUGCCUAGUAGUGGGGGAUAACUACUCGAAAGAGUGGCUAAUACCGCAUGAGAUCUACGGAUGAAAGCAGGGGAUCGCAAGACCUUGUGCUCCUAGAGCGGCCGGUGGCAGAUUAGGGAAUUGGUGAGAUAAAAGCUUACCAAGACGACCACCGGUAGCUGGUCUGAGAGGACGAUCAGCCACACUGGGACUGAGACACGGCCCAGACUCCUACGGGAGGCAGCAGUGGGGAAUUUUGGACAAUGGGCGAAAGCCUGAUCCAGCAAUGCCGCAUGCAGGAUGAAGGCCUUCGGGUUGUAAACUGCUUUUGUACGGAACGAAAAGCCCCGGGUUAAUACCCUGGGGUCAUGACGGUACCGUAAGAAUAAGCACCGGCUAACUACGUGCCAGCCGCCGCGGUAA
rnacentral:rRNA from 1 species